CACAGGAUGCUGAGGACUGAGGUUCCUGUUCUGAAGCAAAUGCACAGAUUGUUGCAGACGAGGAAAAUAGGGGUGGGAUUCAGAAACAUGGUGAUGGAGAUGGAAGUAAACAGAGCACCACAGAUACGCAGAUGAAGCCAGACUGCAAACAUCACGCAGCAGAAGGAGAUGAGUGGACAAGUCUACCAAAAUUUUAGGUCACAGCUCCUAAAGGAAGCAAUGCAAGAUUUAGAUCCAGUUAGACCUGGUGUGAACAGGUCUGUCAACAGUGACGGAUGAUUGUAGCAUCAAAGUCUGAAACUCCAAGGAGCUAAGUAACUGUUGUUACACAAACUGAAGAAGCCAUGUUGACAACCUCAAUCCCGACAUCGUGCAUGCAGGCCUGUUGCGUCUGCCAUCGAGCAUGACGAAUGGCACUCAGCAGGGAAGGGACAAUCUGUCUCAGAAAUCCUUUUAAGGACGCCCGCUGCACCGAGAGACGCGCCCUACCAGGUCCCUCCACAGCAGACGGCGAGAUUUCGGCUGCUCCAGCGGGAACUCGUCUCGCAAGCAGGAACAAAACCAAAUUAUUUUCGCAUACGUUCUCCCCUCUCCUGGUAACCCAGGUACGGCCGCCGACCUGAUGCACUGAGCC